AUGGAGGGAAGAAACACUACUGCUAAUAGUACUGGGGAUCAAACUCAGGACCUCAGGACCUUGCAUUUGUGGAUCAGGCGCAGUGCCACUGAGCUAAAUCCCUGGCCUGUCACCCUGCAUCAUCUUGUAGUCAAAAGCUACCACCUCCCUCCAGUCUCUUGGCAGGACCUCAGGCAGAUGCAUCACUCAGGUUGGAAAAUUCAGGACAGUCCUGUUUCAAAGUCCUCUUGCAGAUCCAAUUCAGACGUUGUCAUCUCCUCUCCCCAGCUCAAGCUGCUGAGAGAAGGCAGCAACUGGGAGAGGAGCUGGGUGCAUCUGGAUCUGGGUUGCCUCCUGCUCCCUCUCUUCCUAAGCUUAGUUCCCGGAAACUGUGCUGGUGUGGACAGCAGGACAUGGACCGGUCUGUACAGGGGAGGGGGCGGAGGUCCUUUGGUUUAGCUGCUGGGUGGGUCCCAGGCAGAGGUCCCAGGCAGCGGCCCCAGGGCUGGUUAUCUAUUGCAGCCGGUUUCUGACGACAGGUGGUGGUCUCUGCCCUAGAGAGAUGGUGUCCCCUCUUCCCCUAAGCUGCUCUCCAAUAGGACAGACAGCCUGCUCUUUCCUGGCCUCACCAACAGGCCCUCCCAGUCCACACCCGGAGGACUCCAGCGCUUGUUCAGAAGCCAUCUGGACAGCCAGGGGUUCUGGCCUUCCUCUAACCUUUGUGCUUCUUCCUGUGCAGAUUCAGGAAAUGCUGAGGCUUUCUGCACCUUCCUGGGGGAGGGGAGAGACUGGCACUGGGGAGCCCUGCUCCAGCCUCUGGAUUCACAGUGUUUUCUAACCCUGCCACGUGGGCUGCUUUAGCAGGGACCUGCCUCAGUGACAAGUCUGGCAGAGCACACUUUAGUUUAUGAUUCUAGGACACAGCACAAUUAGUUUGCAAUUAGUUUGCUUCUUUUCGUAAACCUCUUUGUUUAAAUGGAGUAUUCUACUGGCAGUUACAUAAAGGAAGAUGUGGGUACAAAAGACCCAGAUGGAAAAUCUGAAAAGAAAAAACCUUUUAGUCUGAUUUAGAUAGAAAUAAUUCCCUUGCAUCUGCUUUCUGAAGCUGGUGUACCUGAUCCACACUCCUGAAGUGGCAAGCAGUAGUUCCUUUCAUCCUGAGCCAUUUUCACAAGCUACCUACCUCCAGGGACUCUGAACAAAGACAUUUUGGAGCACAACAACAACCUAUCAUAAUUAUAGUUGGUAGCCUCUGAGGCGGAAAACAAAUGAGUUCCAUAAAAGCAUACCCCAUCAUUUACAUUUCCUUAAAAGUCAGUAAGAAGGCUGACAUGUCCAAGACACUGGCAAAGUAGGGUAUCAAAAUAUACGCUUUUCAGAAAGAACUCAUUUUUAACAAAAUCAUUGAACUAAGACAUGGCGGGGGCGGGGGGCAGGCUAUCGGGCUUCUCUGCUGCUUUUUGCUGUCCUGGGUUUGCUUUUAGGUGAAGUCACAGAUGGUCACGCACCGGCCCUUCUGUGCUAGAGCUCAAGAUCAAGGUUCAUUCACUCAGGCUCCCCCUCCUAGUCCUCCUGCCCUUCUAGAAGGGAAAUAGACUGUCUUUCCUCAGUGGUAAGACAGAAUCGCCACACAUUUAGAGAGCUCAGAUCAUUAUAUUUUCCUGCUUACCUCUAUAAUUUUUACGAUGAUUCAGGAAAAAAAAAAUUCACUAGGAAGGGUAGAAGGGGAGAGGAGGAUGAGGAGAGAUCAAUGGAUACCAAGUCACAAUUAGGUAGAAUAAAUUCUGAUGUUAGAUUACACAGUAAGGUGAUCAAGGUUGACAAUGAUGCUGUGUGUAUUUCUUUUUGUUGUUGUUGUUGUUGUUUUGAGACAGGGUCUUGUUUUGUAGUUCAGGCUGGCCUUGAACUUACUAUGUAGCCCGGGCUGACCUCGAACUCACAGCAAUCCUCCUGUCUCAGCCUUCCGAGUACUGGGACUACAGCCGUGCACCACCAUGCUGGGCUUGUUAUGUGUAUUUCAAAACAAGUGGAAGGAUGAAUUUUGAAUGGUCUCACCACAAGGAAACACUGAAUGGGGCCAGGGAUUUAGCUCAGUGGUAUGGUGCUUGCCUCGAAAGCACAAGGUCCUGAGUUCGAUCCCCGGUACCACAAAAAAAAGAAAAAAGAAAAAAAGAAACACUGAAUGUUUGAGACAAUGGAUAUGUGAAUCACCAUUGAUUUUUAUCAUCAUGUAAAAUACAUGCAUCAAAGUACUAAACUGUACCCCAUAAAUAAAUGUACAAUUAUUGCUCAUCCAUUAAAACCAUUUUUAAAAGCAAAAAUUAAAGCAAUGUUUUACUUUAAAAUCAAGAAAAAAA
rnacentral:lncRNA from 1 species